UCACGAAAGUGAGCUGUACUAGAAGUCGCCGCGCCGACCGCAAGGAGGCAAGCGCCCAAGGUAUGACUCAUGAUUGGGGUGAAGUCGUAAACAAGGUACC
rnacentral:rRNA from 1 species